GACCGUCUGGUACCAGGAACUGGCCAAAUGUGAAGGUGUAAAACACAAAGUUCACACCCUGAAGAACCUUCUAGUCCAGUCGGGGAGAUGGACCCAGAAUGUCAGAUUAAGAUUGGCCUGCAUCAGCCCAAAUGGUUCCAUGUUCUUCUUUUUAAUGGCUGCAUAGUACUCCUUUGCAUGGAUGCACCACAGUUCAUUUAACCAGAGUCCUGUUGGCAGGCAUUUCAGAUGUUUGCAAUUUUUCUGUGAGACCAACACCACUGUGAUCAGCAUCCUGUUCUCCUUGAGAGUCUGUGUCACUGUAUCCAAAUCUCUCUCCUUUUUCUCCUAGAAAGUCACAAAUCACUACAUAAGGACCUGCUGUAACCAGUCUGACCUCAUCUUGAUUACAGCUGCAAAGACCCUAUUUCCAAAUAGAGCCACAUUCUGAGGAUCCAGGGUGACAAAUUUUGGGAGGAUAAUAUUCCAUCUGGCACAGAAGGGAAAAGGGAAGUUUUUGUCUGAAGAAGGGGCUUGUCUGGAGAGUUGCUGUGUGAAAAGUCCAGGCUAGCCUGCUGGAGGAUGAGUGAUGGGUGAAGCAGAGAUGAAUUUUCAGAGCUGGCUUCAUCUGAGACCAGCCAGCCCUAGCUGUGGAAGGCAGACACUUAGCAAACCCAGCCAAGAUCAGCCAAGCCCAUCCCAGGGCAGAAGAACCACCAAGCUGAUCCCAGUCCACAUCUACUUCUGGAAGCACGUGCUAAAUAAAUGGUUGCUGUUUUAAGCCACUGAGCUAUGGGAGGCUUUGUUUCCCAGCAAUAACUAAUUGAUAAAUCAUCAACAGUAAAAUGGAUAAAUGAAUUGUGGUACAGGCACACGUGGAAUGAAAAACAUUAAGGAGAAUAAAUAAACUACUGCUACACAAGACAACAUGGAUGAACCUCACCAAUACUAAGCCGGGUGAAGGAAGCUCAGCAGGCAGAGUGCAUCCUACAAGAUGCCUUUUAUAGAAAAAGUACAAGAAUAGGUGAGAGUAAUCUAUGGAGAGAAGUUGCUGGAGAGCCAGUGGGAUUGCAUCUUUUGCAGAGGACAGGUCCUUAAGGGCAAAAUCGCUUAAGAGUCAAAAUGGCCUUGAAAAUUCCUUGGGAAGCCGUCAUGUUGGAGCCAACCACUAUUUCUCAAUAAUUUCAGCACAGCCAGUUUUUCCUCCUGCGUUGGGACGGAUCGCUGUUUCUCCUGUCAAGCUCCAGAUACAGUAAAGUCUUGUGUUUAGGGGCCACACAGUGGAGUGGGACACUCACAGGCAGAGGGAGGAACCAGGUGCUCCUACUCAGAGACACGUGGGACCCAACGGGAGGGUUUGGCUUGGAAGAGACACCUUCAAAGUGAGUGGUGUGGGGAUUUCCCCAUCAUAUAAUGUCCCCUUUGGGGUGUGAGGGGCAAAUGUGUUUAGUUAAGUGGAUCUUAACUCAGUUAAAUUAAAUUCAUGUAUGAUGUGAGACCAGCGUGGAAAGGUCUUACCUCUUGAUUAACCAAUUGUUCUUCCCCAGUCACUCCAUUGCUCCUCUUUGAGCCAUCCAAAAAGUCACCUCAUCUUUCCAGACCUCAGGGUCCUCAUCUGUAAAUUGGGGGGCAUGUGGACUUGGACAGAAUGGGCCCUCUCUGUCACUUGGAGAGUCUGGGAUUGUAAGCUGCCCUCCGGGA
rnacentral:lncRNA from 1 species